AUUAAUACAGUACAGAAAUUAUGUCUCCUAUUUGAUGAAAUUAUUCACCACUUGAUUACAUUGAUUCAUACUGAAUUUUAUUUUGAUAGAAAAGUAAACUUAAUGCAUAUAGAACAAUUAAUUAUGUUGAUUAGAGAACAGCGAUACAUAAAACUGUCAGAAAAAUCUAAAAGAUCUUGGUAGAAAAUUAAACAAAAUUUAAUCUUGAUAGAAGCCCACAUAGCACAGUGCAGCCGGUUGACGAACAUGUGCCUUCUGUCUUUACUGGGUACCCUACAGUGUAAAGAUACAGAGAAAAUUCAGUGUUAAAGAUCCAGAGAGGAAACCCGCAAACACAACUCAGCGUCUACUGCACGCACACACAUCUCAAUCGUAUACACGCCGUAGCCCUCGAUAGCCACUGCCGCCACCAUGUCAGCACGCACACACAACACCCUAAGAUUUGGAGAAGGCAGUAGCCAAGCUUAAGCAAUCGAUUGAAGAGGGAGGCCACGCACCACCCUUAGGCUUCCCACACUACCCACGAACGGCUGUUAUAACUACCAGCUUAGGCAAAUGAACCUGACCUGUGGUCGAAGCAGCAUCAUGAGGCCAUGGUGUCAAGGAAGCCAACAGAAGGGGCGGGAGCCACACCGGAAUGCAGCGGUGGCUAGGGUACACUAUGGCCUCCUGCGAGCCAUUGUCCUAGACCGGCCACCGCACGGUUGCUCUGCUCCGACCAGGCCAACAUCUGGGGAUGGGCCCAUGCUAGAUCUGCGCGCGCCCAAGACGCAGAUCUCAUCACUCAGGCUGCUGCCACCGUCAAACUCGGCAGAUCAGCAGCGCAUGUUGCGGAUGUGACGUGAAGACAGGGC
rnacentral:lncRNA from 1 species